GACUUUCCAAGGUGUCUAAAGAUUUUGGACACCCAGUUUCUAAUGGGAAUUGGAUACCCAAAUCGCUUUAGCAAAUCGUCAUCUGAAUCCCCUAAGUGACUGUGAAAAUCACACCUGUGGCAGGAUAUCAUUAUGGAAGACAGCUAAAGAAGACCUGCUUACCUUGUGAGAAGAGAUGGCAUCAUAGCACAAGGUGAUAUGGCUGUGAAUGGACUCUGGAAAAGAGACAUUGCACAUGCUCCAUAAUCUGUCUAGUCCAUAUCAUUUUCAUUCCAUGCCUGAGGAAUGAAGAAGGACUUGUCGUAGUGGGCACUCCUUUCCAAGCCUGAGGAAAGCCUAAAGAAGAUACCUUAUGCAUCAUGGGGAGUGAGGAACCAGGUUCCAACGUGUUCAGCUCUGUAAAUAUGCAGUUGUCAAGCUCCUCAAGGCUGCUUCAUUUUACAGGUCUACUUGUUGAGAAAGUAACUGGAUACAGGAAUUCACGUAACUGAGUGGGAUUCCAGGUGUGCACAUCUGCCUUCCAGUUCUUGCCUUCCCCAGAGCAAUGCUGGCUGGUUGACAGCGGAGAGCAAAUCAAACUGUUUAGGAGGGGCUGUGACUCGCAAUGGGGAAGUUGCUGCAUAGCACCCACGUCUAGCCCUUGUGGAUUUUGCAGUAUUGAGCCUUUAAAAUUGUGAGUAGUGCAGGACUGAAUGCUAUCCAUCUUACACCUCAGACCAAUAUAACUGUGGGGGAGAAAAUAAAAAAAUCUGCCAGAGAAGUGUUUCUUCCUCCUCUCUUUGAAGUGGCAGCUGUUUGGAACUGCUCCCAAACUUUGGAAUGUUAGGAGAAAUCCUCAGGGAGAUGGAUUAGCAUGUAGGGGGCAGGUGAGGUGGUCAGGGGUGAAUGAUAAAAUGCAACUUGUAUCCUGGCUAGGCAAUUUAUCAUAUAGGUAUUGCCACCACUUAAUGUGUGUGAAUUUUGUAUAUAUAAAUGGUGUUUACUGACAAGUGUUGUCUUAUUGCUAUUCAUUUAACUGCUCAGCAAAGAGCUCACUAUCUGUAGCUAUCAAAUAAAUUUAAGUAACUUACUAAGCCUCCAUUGUGGCUUUUGGUUGUUUUAAGCUGGCUCUGUUCUUGCCUCACCGACAGGUCUCAGAAGGUGGGCUGGGUGUCAUUCACAUAUUGCAGCCUGCACUGUUUCAGUCUCUCCUGGUGGCCUCCUGUAUGGGAUGAGGGACAAGGGAAGUGAGGAGCUCUUUCCCUCUUGGCAUCCUCGGGGAGAGCCUUUGGGGAAAAGGAGCAGCUCCCAUCAUGCACCCCUACGUAGACCCUAUCUGUGAUUGUAGCUAACAAAAAGCAAGAACAUGAUCACCAGAAAACAAAACACAGCAAUAGUUAAUACCCCACCAGACAUACUUCUACCCAAGGUUAUUCUGUGAGCACCUCUGGAGCCCCAGUCCUACUCCCACCAGCUUCAGUGAGAGCAGGCUUAAGUCCUAGGUAUGCAGCUCUUCCCCAGUGGAACCUCUGAGUCUUCAUAUUUGCAUAAGUCCUAGUUUUCUUCAAGAAACCUCUAUGUCAGUGUAGCAUAUUCCAGGUACCGGUGUACCACUCACAGGGCUUGCCGACACAGGAAGUUGGUGCACAGCAAGCUAGGGUAUGAAUUUACAGUGCACUAGGUACUCCAUACGAACUCUCUGUGUGGACAUUCUUACUGCACACUAGAAGUGUCCUUGGUCAGUUUAGCUUGGUACACUUGAAAAUGUGUUAAGCUAACAUGCACAAAGGCACUUUUAGCGUAUGGAGUGUCCACAUAGUAAGUGCAGAGUAGCAAGGGCACUGUAAAUUCACAGGCUGCUGCACACUAACUUCCCUGUAUAGACAAGCCCUAAGCUCCUGAUCUCAGAAGUGGCCCUCUCAUUUUAGAAGCCCACCCCAAAUUUGAAACACCCUGGUUUAUAAAAAUGCAACCCCAUCACCAGUUUUCCCCCAUCCACUUACAGAAAAAGAGUGAGCAGGCUAGCCAUCAAAGAGAGAAAGAAGCAGACACUCUGUUCACACAGAGUAGUCCUUUUAGCGCUAUGUUCCCAAAUCAAGAGUUGUAGAAAAGAAACUGGCAUAGCCUCUGAAACAAUAGCUUUCUUUUGUUAACCACUGUAGGACCCUCAGGGAAAGACAUAAAAAAGAGGAAGCCUCAACCUGUCCUCUUGCUCCACCUCCACUUUCAGGGAGCCACAGAAAAACAAAGUCUUCUGCAUCAGUGGUUCUCAAACCAAGGCCGCCACUUGUUCAGGGAAAGCCCCUGGCAGGCCGGGCCCAUUUGUUUACCUGCU